rnacentral:rRNA from 1 species
GACGUAGGGUGCGAGCGUUUGUCCGGAUUUACUGGGCGUAAAGAGCGCGUAGGCGGCUCGUUAAGUGUGAAGUGAAAUCUCCAGGGCUCAACCCGGAAACUGCUUUACAUACUGGCGAGCUAGAGGAAUGCAGAGGUUAGUGGAAUUCCUGGAUGUAGCGGUGAAAUGCGUUGAUAUCAGGAGGAACACCCAUGGCGAAGGCAGCUAACUGGGCAUUAUCGUGACGCUGAGG